rnacentral:rRNA from 1 species
GACGAAGGUGGCUAGCGUUGUUCGGUAUCACUGGGCUUAAAGCGUGUGUAGGCGGGAAAGUAAGCAUCAUGUGAAAUCCCCCGGCUCAACCGGGGAAUGGUGUGAUGUACUGCUUUUCUUGAGGCAAGUAGGGGUGCAUGGAACUCUUGGUGGAGCGGUGGAAUGCGUAGAUAUCAAGAGGAACGCCAGCGGUGAAAACGGUGCACUGGGCUUGUCCUGACGCUGAGACACGAAAGCGUGGGGAGCGAACGGG